UCUGAUGUAUGUAGCUAUCAUGAAUGGGC
rnacentral:piRNA from 1 species